rnacentral:rRNA from 1 species
UACGUAGGCAGCGAGCGUUGUUCGGAGUUACUGGGCGUAAAGGGUGUGUAGGCGGUUGUUUAAGUUUGGUGUGAAAUCUCCCGGCUCAACUGGGAGGGUGCGCCGAAUACUGAAUAACUAGAGUGCGGGAGAGGAAAGUGGAAUUCCUGGUGUAGCGGUGAAAUGCGUAGAUAUCAGGAGGAACACUGGUGGUGUAGACGGCUUUCUGGACCGUAACUGACGCUGAGACACGAAAGCGUGGGUAGCAAACAGG